GAAACUUUUAGGACACAGCUAACUUCCCUAGUAGGCGAGCUGUAGUAGUCUGGUGAUUGAAAGAGUGAUAUGUGUAUUUCAUGUCCUGCUAGGCCUGAAGUAAGGUAGGUACUUACUGUGAUGCAAGGUUUGGAAAAGUGCAUCUCUCCACAUAGAGGGGAAAUGGCAUUUUAGGAAAAUAACAGCUAUUAAUAAUAUAUUAAGACAAGCAUUUUUUGGUGUAUGAUUUUGAGAUUUAUUAUUAAGUAGGCC